CAGAUGACAUUAGGUUGGUGGAGGUUUUACUGUGACGCUGUCAUUAAACUCCACCUUUCACCCUGCGGGGGCUCACAUUGUGAUUUACCUCUUUGGGAACGUACAGUAGGAGGAUAAUAUCUCCAUACACUGAUAAAUCUCUCUUCCUGCCUUUUCUCCUGUCGUCACAUCUCUUUUCCUCUUGUCAGGUUGAACCCGGAUGAUCUGUUCAAUCACCCGAGAUCGCAGAGGCAGGACCCCGUAAAGAACUUCAACUGGGAAUGUCUGACCAUCAGUCUGGAGAUCUCAAGUCUCUCAGAGAGUUUCUCUGAUCUUCUUCUGGAGGCUGGGAACUUGUGAUCAGGAUGGACCACGUUCAGGGCCUCUUCUGAAACAGCGUUCAGGAGCUGUGACCUGAAGGUUGGAUGAACUCGGUUUAACUCUGAAGAACCUGGAUUUCCUCAACCUUAUCAACCAACCUGAGGUUUGUGGAUGGCAGCUAAUCGCCCAUCUAGGAGUAUGAAAUCCCAGCCUGAACUCGUUCUCUGGUCUGGUAGGAGGCUGAUACAGAUUAGCCUCCCAUCUCAUUAAACUAGCUUUGCCCAUAUAAAAAAGAAACAGCUUCCAACACACUGGAGUCUUCAGACCACACUUCCUCAUUCUUGAACUCGUAUAAACUCUAUAAACUCACACUUGGGGAAAGUUAGUUGUGUUUAAAGACACGAAUUGUUUGGCACAGUUGUUUUCCUCAGACCAGGACUUGCACUGAUUUGAUUGAUGUUUCUUUCGAUGGUUAAUUAAGCUCACGUAAGAACAAUAGCAGCUGCAGCAAAUUGUACACAAUUUAUGGUUUUUGGUUUAUUUUUCUGAUAUAUUUUACACCUUUUUGUUGUUUUUGUUUAUUGUAAUACAUGGUGUCAUGUAUUUCAGUCUCUUUUAUGAAUUACUGUUCUCCAACUCCAGAAGAUGAAUCUAAUCUUCUGUGUUUCAGCCAGUUUUAACAGUGUAGCUGUGUAAGAAAGCUAAUUGGGUUCU